UACGUAGGGGGCUAGCGUUGUCCGGAUUUAUUGGGCGUAAAGAGCGUGUAGGCGGCCAGAUAGGUCUGCUGUGAAAACUCGAGGCUCAACCUCGAGCUGUCGGCGGAAACCAUUUGGCUAGAGUCCGGAAGAGGAGAGUGGAAUUCCUGGUGUAGCGGUGAAAUGCGCAGAUAUCAGGAGGAACACCGGUGGCGAAGGCGGAUCUCUGGGCCUUACCUGACGCUCAGGCGCGAAAGCUAGGGGAGCGAACAGG
rnacentral:rRNA from 1 species